GUUCUUCGCCGAGCUCCUCGACCGGCGCUGACCGCUGCGAGGUGCCAGGCGCCUCGCAGCGGUCGGUGCGACGUCAGCUCUGCGUGCGGG
rnacentral:misc_RNA from 1 species